UGGUCCUGGUCCUGGUCCUUUAUCUAUAAGUCUAAUAUCCACAGGCACAAGCAUUGGAGGCAUCACCCUCUUUGCAUUAGUGAUAUUUCACAUUUACAAAUCAAGAGAAUCUGAAAAAGAAAAAGAGACUCAACUGAAGGUGGAGAAGUUCCUCGAAAACUACAGGACCGUCAAUCCCACUCGAUACACUUACAAAGAACUCAAGAAAAUAACAAGCAGAUUUAAGCACAGGCUCGGCCAGGGAGGUUACGGAAGCGUGUUCAGAGGAAAACUCUUCAACGGAAUUCCAGUUGCUGUCAAGAUGUUGGAACAUUUAAAAGGAAAUGGACAAGAGUUCAUCAAUGAAGUGGCCACAAUUGGCAGGAUUCACCACUUCCACAUUGUUCGGCUUCUGGGAUUUUGCUCUGAAGGAAACAGGCGUGCUCUUAUUUACGAGUUUAUGCCCAAUGGAUCACUUGAGAAAUUCAUCUUCUCAAAGACAAAUAGCUCAAGUCAUCGUCAAUUGAGUUGGGAGAAGCUGAGGAAGAUUGCAUUUGGCGUUGCCCGUGGAGUGGAGUACUUGCACCAAGGAUGCAACCAGAGGAUCCUGCACUUCGAUAUCAAGCCUCACAGUAUAUUAUUAGACCAUAAUUUUCAACCGAAGAUUUCAGAUUUUGGACUGGCUAAGUUGUGCUCGAAGGACAUAAGCAUUGUAUCUCUGACAGCUGCCAGAGGCACUUCUGGCUACAUUGCACCUGAACUUUUCUCCAGGAAUUUUGGUGAGAUCUCUUACAAGUCUGAUGUUUACAGUUAUGGAAUGAUGCUGUUAGACAUGGUCGGAUGCAGAAAAAAUAACGAUCCUGCGGUUGAAAUUCAGAGCCAAAUAUAUUUCCCAGAGUGGAUUUACAAUAGAAUGAGGCAAGGACAAGAGCUCUGUUUCGAUUUUGAGGAAGAUGGGGAUGAGGGAAUUGCCAGAAAGCUUGCAAUUGUGGCACUUUGGUGCAUUCAAUGGAAUCCCACGGAGAGACCUUCCAUGCCAAUUGUAUUACAAAUGCUUGAAGCUGAUUUACAAAGCUUGGAGAUCCCUCCAAUGCCCUUUGUUUCUGCUGAUGUUGAGGCAGGUGCAAUCAAUUGAUCUAGAUAGCAGAAGAUUACAAUUAAAAAGGGAUAUUGUUAAUUUAUUUCAAAUUUUCCCCGAUUAUAAGCUAAAUUAUUUAGUCCUUCUUAUUAUUGGAACGCUUGAAAACCACUAAAUUGAGUUUUUGUUUGACUGUGGUUGUUUUAUUUAUCGC
rnacentral:lncRNA from 1 species